GCUGGGCGUGGUGGUGCGCACCUGUAGUCCCAGCUACUCGGGAAGCUGAGGCAGGAGAAUUGCUUGAACCCAGGAGGCGGAGGUUGCAGUGAGCCGGGUUCAUGCCACUGCACUCCAGCCUGGGCGACAGAGCAAGAUUCUGUCUCAA
rnacentral:SRP_RNA from 1 species